GCCGUAGCUCAAGGGUAGAGCAUCUGCUUUGCAUGCAGAGGGUCCCAGGUUCAAUCCCUGGCACCUCCA